UUGGAGGAGAAAAAAAUGUAACAAGGUUUCCGUAGGUGAACCUGCGGAAGGAUCAUUACCUAGAGUUGUAGGCUUUGCCUGCUAUCUCUUACCCAUGUCUUUUGAGUACUUACGUUUCCUCGGCGGGUCCGCCCGCCGAUUGGACAAUUUAAACCAUUUGCAGUUGCAAUCAGCGUCUGAAAACUUUAAUAGUUACAACUUUCAACAACGGAUCUCUUGGUUCUGGCAUCGAUGAAGAACGCAGCGAAAUGCGAUAAGUAGUGUGAAUUGCAGAAUUCAGUGAAUCAUCGAAUCUUUGAACGCACAUUGCGCCCCUUGGUAUUCCAUGGGGCAUGCCUGUUCGAGCGUCAUUUGUACCUUCAAGCUUUGCUUGGUGUUGGGUUUUGUCUCGCCUCUGCGUGUAGACUCGCCUUAAAACAAUUGGCAGCCGGCGUAUUGAUUUCGGAGCGCAGUACAUCUCGCGCUUUGCACUCAUAACGACGAGUCCAAAAGUACAUUUUUACACUCUGACCUCGGAUCAGGUAGAUGUAGC
rnacentral:rRNA from 1 species